GGCAGCGCUCUCAGGACAUCUCCACCAUGGCCUGGGCUCUGCUGCUCCUCACCCUCCUCACUCAGGGCACAGGGUCCUGGGCCCAGUCUGCCCUGACUCAGCCUGCCUCCGUGUCUGGGUCUCCUGGACAGUCGAUCACCAUCUCCUGCACUGGAACCAGCAGUGACGUUGGUGGUUAUAACUAUGUCUCCUGGUACCAACAGCACCCAGGCAAAGCCCCCAAACUCAUGAUUUAUGAGGUCAGUAAUCGGCCCUCAGGGGUUUCUAAUCGCUUCUCUGGCUCCAAGUCUGGCAACACGGCCUCCCUGACCAUCUCUGGGCUCCAGGCUGAGGACGAGGCUGAUUAUUACUGCAGCUCAUAUACAAGCAGCAGCACUCUCCACAGACUCUGACCCCCUGCCCCUCAUCCACCCCGCAGGUCAGCCCAAGGCUGCCCCCUCGGUCACUCUGUUCCCACCCUCCUCUGAGGAGCUUCAAGCCAACAAGGCCACACUGGUGUGUCUCAUAAGUGACUUCUACCCGGGAGCCGUGACAGUGGCCUGGAAGGCAGAUAGCAGCCCCGUCAAGGCGGGAGUGGAGACCACCACACCCUCCAAACAAAGCAACAACAAGUACGCGGCCAGCAGCUACCUGAGCCUGACGCCUGAGCAGUGGAAGUCCCACAAAAGCUACAGCUGCCAGGUCACGCAUGAAGGGAGCACCGUGGAGAAGACAGUGGCCCCUACAGAAUGUUCAUAGGUUCUCAUCCCUCACCCCCCACCACGGGAGACUAGAGCUGCAGGAUCCCAGGGGAGGGGUCUCUCCUCCCACCCCAAGGCAUCAAGCCCUUCUCCCUGCACUCAAUAAACCCUCAAUAAAUAUUCUCAUUGUCAAUC
rnacentral:lncRNA from 1 species